CCUACGGGGGGCAGCAGUGAGGAAUAUUGGUCAAUGGGCGCGAGCCUGAACCAGCCAAGUCGCGUGAGGGAAGACGGUCCUAUGGAUUGUAAACCUCUUUUGUCGGGGAGCAAAAGACGCCACGCGUGGCGUUCCGAGAGUACCCGAAGAAAAAGCAUCGGCUAACUCCGUGCCAGCAGCCGCGGUAAUACGGAGGAUGCGAGCGUUAGCCGGAUUUAUUGGGUUUAAAGGGUGCGCAGGCGGAAGAUCAAGUCAGCGGUAAAAUUGAGAGGCUCAACCUCUUCGAGCCAUUGAAACUGGUGUUCUUGAGUGAGUGAGAAGUAUGCGGAAUGCGUGGUGUAGCGGUGAAAUGCAUAGAUAUCACGCAGAACUCCGAUUGCGAAGGCAGCAUACCGGCGCUCAACUGACGCUCAUGCACGAAAGUGUGGGUAUCGAACAGGAUUAGAUACCCCUGUAGUC
rnacentral:rRNA from 1 species